rnacentral:lncRNA from 1 species
GAAGCCAGAGGGCCUGCGUUCGAACCCUCACCCUGCUGCUUAUUAGCUGUAUAUUAUUGGAAAAUGCACUCAAUCUUUCGGUGCCUCCGUUUCCCAAUCUGUAAAAUAACAAGAGUUCUUAUCUCAUAGGGGUAAGGAGGAAAUGAGUAAAUAUGUAUGAGUGAAGCACUAGGAACAGCGCGUGGCCCUGCGGAUAACAGAAUAUUGAAGAACUGAUACCACACAGGUUACAGCCAGCUAACAAAGUUAACAACCAGUGCUGCAGCUGCAGCCCAGCCCACCCAGCACCAUUAGCACUCUGGCAGAAACCACAUCUACUCUGUCCUCACCACUGCCACCCCGCUUCCCAGCACAAUGCCUGACACUUCGUGGGAGGCCAAAAACUAUUUGUUGAAAGAGCAAAUAAAUGAAGGAAUCAAGUGUAACCCUCUUAGAGCCUGGCCAUUUCGCCUCCUCCUUGAAGUCAACCUCAGCAUGAGUCACAUUCACAGAAACAUUCAUCUCAUACCCAGAGAUCAUCAAAAGACCAGCUGAAGGCUUUUCUGCAGUCCUUGAGAGAAUGCCAAAAGGUGGGGUUGCAUUCACCGCUCAGGAAACAGCUCAAAAUCCUUCCACUCUCGCUCUUGCCUGCUCCAGCCUCUCGGGAAAAGGGCCAGUCUGCUACUCCAAGAGAACACGCGGACUGAAGUGCUGUCCACGCGGUGUUCAGAUGGGGCUCUGGAGGCCAUGCCAUGUGAUCCCUCGGUGAGGAAAGGAUUCCCUGGCCAGCCAUGGGGAAUAUGAACUCCUGAAGAUGAACAAGAGCUCUCAGCCCCCUCCCCCAGGCCCACCCAGCUGUCCUGAGGUCCCCUUGGAAGAGACCAAAAGAGAAGAAGCAACAGGGGGCCAGAGACCCCCAGGCCCCCAACCACCAUAUACCACAUAAACCAACUGAUGAGGAAAGAAGGUCCUAAUACAGGCACUUCCCCUUUCAUUCUUGAUAAACUCAGAGUCCAAACAGCCCUCACAGAAUGACUGCAAUGUCAGGGAACUGAAAAAGAAGAGCUUACUCUCUCCCUUCAAUAAGUUUCUUCCCUUCUCUGAGCCUCAGUUUUCUCCAUCUGUAAAAGGGCUGCUAAACUUCCUUCCAGCUGGAAACCAAGAUGGCGGUCUUGGCAAACCUGGCACAGCAAGAAAAAUUGGCCUAGGGCAUAGGCAGGAGGAGUUAGAGAGACAGCCAAGUCUUCCUUUGAGUCAGUCAGAAAGACAAGAAGGCUUUUUUUU